rnacentral:rRNA from 1 species
UACAGAGGUCUCGAGCGUUGUUCGGAUUCAUUGGGCGUAAAGGGUGCGUAGGUGGCGAGGAAAGUCGGAUGUGAAAUCCCGGGGCUCAACCCCGGAACUGCAUUCGAUACUGCCCUGCUAGAGUACUGGAGAGGAGAUUGGAAUUUACGGUGUAGCAGUGAAAUGCGUAGAUAUCGUAAGGAAGACCAGUGGCGAAGGCGGAUCUCUGGACAGUUACUGACACUGAGGCACGAAGGCCAGGGGAGCAAACGGG